UUAUCCUGGCUCAGAUUGAACGCUGGCGGCAGGCUUAACACAUGCAAGUCGAGCGGAGAGAGGUAGCUUGCUACCGAUCUUAGCGGCGGACGGGUGAGUAAUGCUUAGGAAUCUGCCUAUUAGUGGGGGACAACAUUCCGAAAGGAAUGCUAAUACCGCAUACGCCCUACGGGGGAAAGCAGGGGAUCUUCGGACCUUGCGCUAAUAGAUGAGCCUAAGUCGGAUUAGCUAGUUGGUGGGGUAAAGGCCUACCAAGGCGACGAUCUGUAGCGGGUCUGAGAGGAUGAUCCGCCACACUGGGACUGAGACACGGCCCAGACUCCUACGGGAGGCAGCAGUGGGGAAUAUUGGACAAUGGGGGGAACCCUGAUCCAGCCAUGCCGCGUGUGUGAAGAAGGCCUUUUGGUUGUAAAGCACUUUAAGCGAGGAGGAGGCUACUAGUACUAAUACUACUGGAUAGUGGACGUUACUCGCAGAAUAAGCACCGCUACUC
rnacentral:rRNA from 1 species